GUGACCGGUGUGGCAAUUGAAUUCCAGGAGCGGUUUGCCUUCUGGACCGAUGAGGCCAGAAACUUGCUCCAAGGAAAACUUCAGCCAGUGUACAGGGUGCCAAAAAAGUGUGCUAUCUCUGAGGAAAUCCCACUUCACAUUCAGGCUGUUCCACAACAGAGGAAAAAAGAAUUGUCGACUUUAUUGUAAAGUUAAAGGGGUCUGAGGAGCAUUUGGUGGGUGUACUCAACGGGAAGCCCUCUAAGUGGUUGCGUAAGCAAGCAUCUUUCCAGGUGCCUGUCUACAU